UCCAAGAGCAUCAGGACAACAAGCCU
rnacentral:piRNA from 1 species